UACGUAGGGGGCAAGCGUUGUCCGGAAUCAUUGGGCGUAAAGAGCGUGUAGGCGGCUCGAUAAGUCUGCUGUGAAAGUCCAGGGCUCAACCCUGGAAGGCCGGUGGAAACUGUCGGGCUAGAGUCCAGAAGAGGCGAGUGGAAUUCCCGGUGUAGCGGUGAAAUGCGCAGAUAUCGGGAGGAACACCAAUGGCGAAGGCAGCUCGCUGGGACGGUACUGACGCUGAGACGCGAAAGCGUGGGGAGCAACAGGG
rnacentral:rRNA from 1 species